GAAAGGACAGAAUCACCAUGUGUUACUGGCACAGAUGCAUCGGCUAGUGAAGAAAGAAGACAUUCAAACUAGUCCCGCUCUGUCGCCCAGUCUGGAGUGCAGCAGCGCCAUCAUAGCUCACUGCCACCUAGAAGCCGGGGUGAAGCAAUCCUCCUCCAUCAGCCUUCAGAGUAGCUGGGACUACCUGCGCGGCCCACCACACCCGGCUAAUCUUUGUGGUUUUUGUUUUGUUUUCCGUUCUGGGUUUCCGUCGGGCGCAGUGGCUCAGGCCUGCAAUCCCAGCACUUUGGAAGGCAGAGGUGGGCGGAUCACCCGAGGUCGGAGACCAGCCUGACCAACAUGAAGAAAUCCCGUCUCUACUAAAAAAAAGAAAAAAACUACAAAAUUAGCCGGAUAUGGUGGCUCAUGCCUGUAAUCCCAGCUACUAGGGAGGCCCAGGCAGGAGAAUCACCUAAAUCCGGGAGGCCGAGGUUGCGGUGGGCAAAGAUCACACCAUUGCACUCCA
rnacentral:lncRNA from 10 species